rnacentral:rRNA from 1 species
UACGGAGGGUGCAAGCGUUAAUCGGAAUUACUGGGCGUAAAGCGUGCGUAGGUGGUUUGUUAAGUCCGUUGUGAAAGCCCCGAGCUCAACUUGGGAAUUGCAGUGGAUACUGGCAAGCUGGAGUGCGGUAGAGGAAGGUGGAAUUCCCGGUGGUAGCGGUGAAAUGCGUAGAUAUCGGGAGGAACACCAGUGGCGAAGGCGAUCACCUGGGGUUGUUCUGACGCUGAGGAGCGAAAGCUAGGGGAGCAACGGGAUU